CCUACGGGGGGCUGCAGUGAGGAAUAUUGGUCAAUGGACGAGAGUCUGAACCAGCCAAGUAGCGUGAAGGAUGACUGCCCUAUGGGUUGUAAACUUCUUUUAUCUGGGAAUAAAAUGUUCCACGUGUGGGAUUUUGUAUGUACCAUAUGAAUAAGGAUCGGCUAACUCCGUGCCAGCAGCCGCGGUAAUACGGGGGAUCCGAGCGUUAUCCGGAUUUAUUGGGUUUAAAGGGAGCGUAGGUGGAUUGUUAAGUCAGUUGUGAAAGUUUGCGGCUCAACCGUAAAAUUGCAGUUGAAACUGGCAGUCUUGAGUACAGUAGAGGUGUGCGGAAUUCGUGGUGUAGCGGUGAAAUGCUUAGAUAUCACGAAGAACUCCGAUUGCGAAGGCAGUUCACUGGACUGCAACUGACACUGAGGCUCGAAAGUGUGGGUAUCAAACAGGAUUAGAUACCCGUGUAGUC
rnacentral:rRNA from 1 species